rnacentral:rRNA from 1 species
CAGCAGCCGCGGGAAUACGUAGGUGGCAAGCGUUGUCCGGAAUUAUUGGGCGUAAAGGGCUCGCAGGCGGUUUCUUAAGUCUGAUGUGAAAGCCCCCGGCUCAACCGGGGAGGGUCAUUGGAAACUGGGAAACUUGAGUGCAGAAGAGGAAAGUGGAAUUCCAUGUGUAGCGGUGAAAUGCGCAGAGAUAUGGAGGAACACCAGUGGCGAAGGCGACUUUCUGGUCUGUAACUGACGCUGAUGUGCGAAAGCGUGGGGAUCAAACAGGAUUAGAUACCCCAGUAGUCCCUGUCUCUUAUAC